rnacentral:tRNA from 1 species
GCCGGGGUGGCGGAAUGGUAGACGCAGUGGACUCAAAAUCCACCGGUAGUGAUACCGUGAGAGUUCGAGUCUCUCUCCCGGCACCA